AUUGAACGCUGGCGGCAUGCCUUACACAUGCAAGUCGAACGGUAACGGGCCUUCGGGUGCCGACGAGUGGCGAACGGGUGAGUAAUACAUCGGAACGUGCCCGAACGUGGGGGAUAACGAGGCGAAAGCUUUGCUAAUACCGCAUACGAUCUACGGAUGAAAGCAGGGGACCGCAAGGCCUUGCGCGGACUGACCGGCCGAUGGAGGAUUAGGUAGUUGGUGUGAUAAAAGCUUACCAAGCCGACGAUCUGUAGCUGGUCUGAGAGGAUGAUCAGCCACACUGGAACUGAGACACGGCCCAGACUCCUACGGGGGGCAGCAGUGGGGAAUUUUGGACAAUGGGCGCAAGCCUGAUCCAGCCAUGCCGCGUGAAGGAUGAAGGCCUUCGGGUUGUAAACUGCUUUUGUACGGAAAGAAAAGACUUCUUUUAAUACAGGAGGGUCAUGACGGUACCGAAAGAAUAAGCACCGGCUAACUACGUG
rnacentral:rRNA from 1 species